CGACAAACAUAGUCCUAACGACAACAGCGUUUGUGGUUCAAGAUUUCCGAUGUUAUCAGUGCGAAAUUAUCUAACAAGUUAGAAUCGGAUUUCGCAAACACUUGACGCUCGCCAAUACGUAAACUCCUUUUGAAAUCACUGUUGUGCGUUUCUAUUCAAUGAGUAUUUUGUUCGAUGAAACCAAUACAAAAAGAGGGCGUCCCUAGGGAGGACUAUGGGGCUGGUUACAGAUGCUUAUCGUCAGGCCAUCCUAUUCACGACUUUUUGGUUCAUACAGAUUUACACCAUUACACCGUAGGUCAUGCACCCAGAUGAUCGUGAAAGCAUCUUUUAUUUACGAAAUUAUCGUAGCGAACUCAAUAUUGCAUGAAAAAAUUCUCCCUCACUUUCUGUUCGUGUGUUUAUUUAAUAUAGGAAGAAAAAGGGUGAGUUUGCUUAGUCGGUAAAGAUAGGAGAGCUAAAUGCUCUCAGGCUAGCUGGAUGCUCCACGACAAUUUACCAUGCUUUCGUGGACACCGGUGUUUCUACCAAUAUUUUUGUUUAUCGUCAUGAUUAACAUACAACGUAAUUGAUAUAUCGUCAGCAUAGAAUUAACUAAUUGUAAAUUUUUUAGAAAAAAAAUGGUACUCACAAAACAAGAGUCUAACAAUAUGAAGUAAAUCGUAGUAGUAUAUAGUUCAUUUGGUUCAUUUAAGCAGCCGGCUGGAGGCACGCAGCUGUUGAUUAGUUGUUUUCGAUUAACCUCACAAUACAUUUGGGUCCAGGAGGUCCAGGAGCAGGCACUGCGUCGGCUGCUGAUCUUUGUCAGGCGAGGUGCUAAAAUUGUGCACAACGAUGUUGACACCCUCAAAUAAACCCUGUGAAUGUUGAGUUACACAAGAUAAUUUUGUUCCGAACACAAGAAAAAUGCUUGAUCAAAACAUGGAAAAAAACAAACAGAUGUCACGAAUCCACGUAUCACAUAGCAGAAGGACUGGAGUUAACUUCAAAGAAUUUAAUCUUGAUAAUGCAUAGCAAAUUUUGCAAAUUUGUCAAAGAAAUAAGAAAGAAACGUUUUUGAAGAAGAGAUAAAGCAUCCGAGAGGAUAUUGGUAUUUAAAAAAUAAUACUGUUAGAGGAGGUGUCUGAGUCAAUACUUUGCAUUAAUUAUAUUCUGAUAUUGUGACACAUUGAGAUAUUUUCAAUUUAAUAUAUUUAUAAGUUACAAUUUUCGAUCUCAAAAGUAAAGAAAGUGGUUUAUACUGGAAUUAUAAACCAUAGCAUAUAGCAAUAUCACCUUUUAUUUAUCACACUGGCUUCCAUAAAUAUUUAAUUUUACAACCUUGCAUGAUUGAUUAUAAUCAAAAAUAAUACAAUUGAAUUGGCUAAUUGGGUAACAUAAAAUCUGCUUUAGUAAACUGAUAAAUUGUUUAGAUUCCUUAAGCUUUUGUAUAUAAUUUCAGAAGUUGCAGAUUUUGUCGCAAGAGGCAGAGUUUGAGACAGUGUGUAUUCGUGGCUUGUUUAAGAGUGUAAUUCAUUACACUCCUGUAUUAAGUCAUUUAGACCAGACCUAGUCGACCAUUAGAAUGAUAUGCAGAAGUCAUAUAUAUUUUUAUACGAGACAAAUUGUUAGAGAAUACAAAUUCGAAAAUUUCAGGUGACUUGAAAAAUUAACAACGGAGCUAGGAAUGGAACCUGGUGUCUAGAGAUGCUUUGCCGGAGCCUUACUCCACUAGAUCACCUAGCCGCCUGACUACAAUGUUAAUUUCUCUCAUCAUCUGUAUUCGAAAUUUGAAAUAGCGCGAGUU